GUCACUUUGCCGGAGUGGUUAACGGGAUCGCCUGCUAUUCUGCAUAGCUGCCAGCGGUUGGGCUUUGCCCGCGAGUGUUCGAAUCGCUCAGGUGACG
rfam:Amanita muscaria Koide BX008 unplaced genomic scaffold scaffold_7, whole genome shotgun sequence.